CCCUAGCCCAGAUAGAAGUGGAAAGCAUUUUACAAAAAAAGAAAUUUUUUGUUGACGUAAAAAAGCGACCUUAGGAAGCUCUUUUUAGGGCUUACAAAAAUAUCUUUUUUUGUAAAAUCUUGUAGCGCAUAGCUGGAAAUAGC
rnacentral:sRNA from 1 species